UGGGGAAUAUUGCACAAUGGGCGCAAGCCUGAUGCAGCCAUGCCGCGUGUGUGAAGAAGGCCUUCGGGUUGUAAAGCACUUUCAGCGAGGAGGAAGGUGGUGAGCUUAAUACGCUCAUCAAUUGACGUUACUCGCAGAAGAAGCACCGGCUAACUCCGUGCCAGCAGCCGCGGUAAUACGGAGGGUGCAAGCGUUAAUCGGAAUUACUGGGCGUAAAGCGCACGCAGGCGGUUUGUUAAGUCAGAUGUGAAAUCCCCGGGCUCAACCUGGGAACUGCAUUUGAAACUGGCAAGCUAGAGUCUCGUAGAGGGGGGUAGAAUUCCAGGUGUAGCGGUGAAAUGCGUAGAGAUCUGGAGGAAUACCGGUGGCGAAGGCGGCCCCCUGGACGAAGACUGACGCUCAGGUGCGAAAGCGUGGGGCAGCAAACAGGAUUAGAUACCCUGGUAGUCCACGCUGUAAACGAUGUCGAUUUUGGAGGUUGUGCCCUUGAGGCGUGGCUUCCGGAGCUAACGCGUUAAAUCGACCGCCUGGGGAGUACGGCCGCAAGGUUAAACUCAAAGG
rnacentral:rRNA from 1 species